UCAAUAGUGCUUAUUAGAUCCUUAACAAGCAAAUAAAAGUCUAGCCAAGUAAGUCUGGUUAGUGAAUUGAUUACUGUUAUAAGAGUGGGUCAAUAGUGAUUCAUGUGUUAAGAUUUUAUUUAAUGAUUCUUCGUGCACCUUAUGAAAUCUUUUCUUAUUAAUUAGUAGUAACUAACAUUAAAACAUACAUUUGAGACCCCUUAAAAGCCUCUUCUAGGUAGUUAUUUAUACCUUGUACUAUUUGAAUUUUGCUUCUAAGCCUUUGAGACUAAUCAAUAUAUACAAUACUAAAAGGGAUAUAUGAGCUCCAUUGAGUCUAUCCAGGUCAGCAUAAAAAAUCAGCCAAUGAGAAACUUAGUUUUUGCCACGUCACACCAGACUUGGAUAGUAUUGGGCUUUUUUUUUAUCCUUGAAGUGAAUUAUUUGGCUCAAAUUCCAUGUCAUCUUCUCUUCCGGAACUCAAUCUCGCAGCCUCCACUUUUCAGAGCUUCAUCUCUUCACCUCCCAUUCGUAUCUCUUAAGCUUCCCUGUUUUAAUUAUGCCAUAAUUACUGCUUCUGAUCGCUUUCGUCUUCAUCGCCGUCUUCAACCUCUUAACGAUCGGACCAACCACUUUCAGCGUUUUCCAACUACUCUAUUGACUACAGCUGAAACCGAUCUCCACCAAAGUAAAAUCAGUGUCUCUCUUAAGCUAUGAAGAUUUGGGUCUUGAAGGAAUCAAACAAAGAGUUAAGUUUGUUUUUAUUUUCAACUUUCGAUUCCUUAUUCUGUCAUUAUGAUUAGACUUAGCUAAGAUUUGUGCUUGAUCCGUAUUCCUACAAUGUUACCAUGACUGAAAACCUGGCGGCUGAGAAUGAAAGGAUGAAUGAUGUCGCAAAGAUCAAAGUUGUUAGUACUAAUCGCUUCUUCAACAUGAUGCUCCCUGGAUUUUUGAGAACAGAUUCCUAAGUGACUACUUUAAAAAAAAGUAUUCAGCAAAAAAACGAGGAAGACGUUGUUGACACAAAUUCCAAUUGCUUAACAGUUCAUGAAACCAAACUUAAGCUCAGUCUCUCAUGUUUUGGGUUGAGUUGACUAGCCUAUGUUAGCAUGAACCUGUGUUUGAUGCUGUGCUAGAUGAGGAAGUAUCAAAUGGUGAGGUGGCUGAUAUAUGAAAGACAUGAUCAACACUUAUCUGGAGUUUAUCGUGAGGCAGUGGAUCCCCUAAAUUUUCAGUGCAUUAAUGCCACUUGCUUGGCAUAUAGGCAGACAGGUAGUUGUAAAACCUAAACUAUGAAGCCUUUGCCUCUUUAAGUCUUCAAGGGAUAUCCUAAGGUCGGUGCAAAAUGCAUACAGAACCAAUUGUUUGGUAUAAACCAUAUCGGUUCUUCUCCGGUAUGUGACUUAUCCUACAAAGCUGUGUUACCCGAAAUCCGAAAUGUGCAAGAGCGAUUUAACGUGUACCGCAUGGAUUAUAGUGGUCUUCUUCUGCUGAAAGUUCAGACACUAAGCCAACUGAGUAAAGAAAGAACUAAAGAAAGGUAUCAGAAGAGCAAGGAGCGCCAGAAAGUCAUUAUUUUGCUUCAGUUAAGAGUUCCAUACAAAUAAUAAUUUAGGAUCUUUUCUGGUUCCCUUUACUCUCUAAAAACCCACUGCACAUGUACAUGUAGAAAAGGCAACUCCACAAAUGGUUACUCUAUCAAAUAUUGUAAUACUUUAACUCUCACAAACCUAUUAACGAUGAUUCUUAUAGAUACAUCCAUUUUUA